rnacentral:rRNA from 1 species
GAUUUGAAGAGUUUGAUCAUGGCUCAGAAUCAACGCUGGCGGCGUGCCUAACACAUGCAAGUCGAACGCGGUUACCCCGCAAGGGGUAACUGAGUGGCGAACGGGUGAGUAACACGUGGGUGACCUACCUUCGAAUGGGGGAUAACGUCCCGAAAGGGACGCUAAUACCGCAUAACAUCCUGCCUUUGAACAGGUGGAGAUCAAAGCCGGGGAUCGCAAGACCUGGCGUUUGAAGAGGGGCCCGCGUCCGAUUAGCUAGUUGGUGGGGUAACGGCUCACCAAGGCAACGAUCGGUAGCCGGCCUGAGAGGGCGGACGGCCACACUGGGACUGAGACACAGCCCAGACUCCUACGGGAGGCAGCAGUGGGGAAUUGUUCGCAAUGGGCGCAAGCCUGACGACGCAACGCCGCGUGGAGGAUGAAGGUCUUCGGAUUGUAAACUCCUGUUGCCCGGGACGAAAAGCUCCGACCUAACACGUCGGAGUCUGACGGUACCGGGUGAGGAAGCCCCGGCUAACUCUGUGCCAGCAGCCGCGGUAAUACAGAGGGGGCAAGCGUUGUUCGGAAUUACUGGGCGUAAAGGGCGCGUAGGUGGCCUGUUAAGUCGAACGUGAAAUCCCCGGGCUCAACCCGGGAACUGCGUCCGAAACUGGCAGGCUUGAAUCCGGGAGAGGGAUGUGGAAUUCCAGGUGUAGCGGUGAAAUGCGUAGAUAUCUGGAGGAACACCGGUGGCGAAGGCGGCAUCCUGGACCGGUAUUGACACUGAGGCGCGAAAGCCAGGGGAGCAAACGGGAUUAGAUACCCCGGUAGUCCUGGCCCUAAACGAUGAAUGCUUGGUGUGGCGGGUAUCGAUCCCUGCCGUGCCGAAGCUAACGCAUUAAGCAUUCCGCCUGGGGAGUACGGUCGCAAGGCUGAAACUCAAAGGAAU